UACUUCUUCCCUGCAGAAGUAAGCCCACGAAGCUCCCUGUGCUUGUGGACAGGAUUGCAGAUCCAGUUGAUCCUUGGAUCAUUGCGGAUCGCAUUGUGUGCAGGAUCAACCAAGAUAACCUCAUAGUACUUGUAUGUUGAAUCCUCGUUAAGCCAAUAAGAGUUAAGAACCUUAAGGCCACCCAGCUUCCUACCAGCACGCUCCUCUGCAACUGA
rnacentral:misc_RNA from 1 species